rnacentral:misc_RNA from 1 species
UCUUGUGAAUAAAAUAAUUAAAAAUGAAUGAAGAUCUGAUGCAACGUGUUAAAAAUACUUUAAAAUCAGAAUCAUAUUUUAUGAAUGAUACUUGGUUAAGAGAUUGUAUAGAAUAUUUCAUUUCAGAAAAUAACACACUAGUGUACAAUGAAAUAUUAAAAUUUGUGAAAACGCAAUGGCAAUUAAGUGAUUUACGUGAAAUUAACAAUGAUAAUGGAUGUUUACCGAAGGAUCUUAGUAAAUGUUUAAAAAGAGUCUUACAUGGAUCUUACAUCCUUCAGGUGAACAAAAUGUACGAUAUAUCAACUUCAAAGUAUAAGCAAUUAGAGCGAAUACGUAAUGUUUCCAAUGUCAAUAUAGAAGCAACGGAAGAUGUCAAACCUCAAAUUUGGGAACCUAAAGCUAAGAGGAUGCUUCUAUUACAUCUAACAGAUGGUCUUCAAGAUGUUAUUGGUAUAGAAUACAAAACCAUUUCAUCCUUACAAGAUACAUUAAUACCCGGAUAUAAAAUAAUGAUCAUUGGACCGUUGAUAUGCAGAAGAGGUGUUAUGUUAUUAGAAGAAAGUAAAUUCAGAGAAAUUGGGGGAGAAGUAGAAAGUUUAUCUAUCAGCAAUGCAUUAGAAAAUGUUCUAGCUCGAGCUUUGGAUUGUCCAGAAAAUCCAGAUCCAUAUAAUGAUAAAGACAGACAGGAAAAUAAUAACAGACCAUCACCUGCUACAAAUGAUUUUUUUGAAGAUGAUUUUGAAGUUAAUUUGGAAGAAGUUACACAAAUUGAACAACAAAAUCUGGAAAUGGAUAAUAUACAAAGUACAAAUAACACAUCAAAUUCUGCAAAUACGCAGAAUAAUUUAUCUAAUCGACUGGACAUCAUGCAACCAACUUUUGUCCAUCCGAAAAAUCCUGUUAAUGAUAAUAAUGUACAUCAAAGUAAUAAUAUUAAUGAAGCUUUCGAUAUGGAUGACGAGUUGUUAGGAAUGAUCGAAGAAGAUCAAUUUAUUGCAUCUACUUCAUGUACGUCUACCUCGAGUACAUUUAAGAAUACUGGAAGCACGGAUAGAGGAAAGAACUUGGUAAAACCUUUUCGAGUAUUACCUAAAGAAGAUAAUGACUAUAACAUGGAAGAUAAUAUUGUAGUAGUGGAAGAUACAGAUAAUAGGAUAGAAAGCUUUAACAAAAAAGAAAAUAUUAAACAACAAAGUGAUAUAGAUUUUCCAGAAGAUGAUUUUAACUUUGAUGACUUAAAUAUGUUGGAAAUAGUGGAAAAGAAAGCUACGAUACCAAAAACUAAAGAAUCUGAUGUGAAAGGAAACUUUUUACCAAGUAAAUUAUUUUUGAAAAAUACUGAUUCUGUUAAAGGUAUAAAAUCUUGUGAAACAUUUAAAUUUAAGACGAAUAGUACUAAUACAAGCAAAGCAUCGUCUAGUAUGCAAGUUGAUCGUCAAAAAGAAAUUGGAAUUAAAAGACCUGCGCCAUUAAUAUCACCAUCGGUUAUUGGUUCGUCGAAAAAAAGUUGUAUUAAAGAAACAUCGAGUCAAGAGAAAGGUGUUAGAAAAAUUUCGGACUUUAUAAAAAGUAAGAAUUUCCAAGAAGAAAUACCAGCGAAAAUUUGUGACUUUAUUUGCGAUAUUAUCGAGGAAACGGUUAAAGAGAUAACAUUUAAAACUGUACGAGGACAAUUCAUCACAUUUGGUAAAUUAUCUAGGAAAAAUCUUUGUUGGCAAUUGGAAGGAACGAUAUCUGAUAAAACUGCAGCUUUAGAUGUUGCUGUUGCUUCUGAGAUUAUUGAAAGAUUUCUUGGGUUCAGUGUUAAAGAAUUUUCCCAAAAAAAGAAGCUCGCAAAAGUCAACUGUGAUAUAGAACAUGAAUUAAGAAUGGCUUGCCGUAAUGCGGAACAAAAAUUGAAAGAAUUGGAUGCAUUACUAGAAUUAGAAUUAAAUCCAAAUCAGAAAGCAAAAGUUGUGAAUAUUAGGCCAUUAACCGAUCAACAAAAGGUACACCGUGAGGAUGACACUUAUGUGGUGGUUGUUUGCAUGGUGGUAAGCGUCUCCAAAUGUUCAUUAAAUUUGGCCACCAAAUCCAAGCAGCUGUAACUAUACCGCUUCCCAAAGUAGCUACCAAUCGAAGAAUGAAGAACUGAACGUAAGGUUUGGAUGGUACUUUAGGUGAACUGGAUGGUUCUGGUGCUCUCAGCCAUUUUUCACGACCCCACCAUUCGUAAAAUGUUGUACUGAUUUCCACCGGUGAUUUAGACGAUUCUCUUUGUCUGAUCAAUGGAUUUGGAUGCUGUUGUUGGUGUUGUUGCUGUUGGAGCGCGCUCACUAC